GGAUCGAUGAUGACUCCCACCCAAACAUUCCUUGGAAAAGCUGAACAAAAUGAGUGAAAACUCUCUACCGUCUCGCUCGUCGAACUGAGGUCC